ACUUUGCCCUGAUGUCUCUUUGCAAUCCCUACAGCACUUCCAAACCGGCAUCUACCUGGCGAUUUGUACCAUUCCC
rnacentral:tRNA from 1 species